CAAUUAACUGAAUAGACACCAAAGACAGCAGGCGCUAUUGCUUAAUAUCCUGCCGAGGUUGAUUGAGACAGAAUUAGUCUUGCCACUAAAAAAAUGGCGCGACCAAAAAUGUCAACCAAAACCUCGGCUUAAUAUCCGGGGUUUUGUUUUGGCUUU
rfam:Crinalium epipsammum PCC 9333, complete genome.